GCACUUCUCUCUUCUGCCUCCUAGUGAAAAAGGUGCCUGCUUCUCCUUCUGCCAUGAUUAUAAGUUUCCUGAGGCUUCCCCAGCCAUGCGUAACUGAGUGAGGACCUAGAAUUUUAAUGUCUAAUAUGCGGUGUGAAUUAAAGAAGCGGCCUUGCUAUGCUGACCUUUUCAAUAUUCUAAUCUUUGCUUUGCUGACCUCUCAGGCCUCUUCCUGGCAACAGUUAGGCUUUUGAGAGGAGAGAGAGCUGAGACUGUUGGCUCCUUCCCAUUUAUGAGAGAGCCACAUGACAUCAGCCCAUAGACUGUGGAGAGUAUUCCAGAUCUAUCACAUUCUGCGAUUCUGCGAUUCCCAGAAGGCUGGUCAUGAAAAAAUUCCCUCUUCAGUUUACAUAUAUGGCAGUGCUCCAGUGCCAUGACAGUUUUAAUCUUCUGGUUCCAUCUGCAUAGAUUUCAGUCUCUAAUUGAGGAAAAUCAUCUGUUUUUCUCAGGAGCCCCUUGAUUCAAGUUUACACAAAAUGUGCCUUUGGAGACUAUCCUGUUAAUUUAAACAGUUCAGAUCCCACUUGUAUGUGAGACAGAUGCUUCUCUGGCCAUCAGCCAGGUACCACUAAAGGAGGUACAGGCCUCUGGGCCAGUGAUGGGAGGGGCUGCCUUGAAGAUGUCUGAAAUGCCCUGGAGACAUCAUCCCCAUCAUCUUGGUGAUUAACAUUCAGCUCCUCUUUACUUAUGGAAAUGUAUUCAGCCACCUUGAGUUGCUCCCC
rnacentral:lncRNA from 1 species